GUCUCUUAGAUCCAGCAUCUAGUUCCGCGCAUCGGAUAACCUUUUCCGCCGCAUGUUGGUCUUCUUCUCUGAUUUACUUGCUCUCUCUACAUACGACUCUCUUUCUCUCUCUAUGCACAGACCUCUCCCUCCUUACGCUCAAAAUCUCUCCUCUCAAUGGUUAUUUCUCUACUUUUAUAGUCGGAGAGAAGAGAGCCCCAAACAACCCUUUCUCAUUCUUCGAUGGAGGGAAGAGGUGUACAUGCCUUUUUUUUUCUCUUCUUUCUUGACCAGAGGCGUCU
rnacentral:lncRNA from 1 species